GAUCCAGCAUGCCGGUGAUGAUGAAGGCCUUAGGGUUGAAAGUUCUUUCCCGGGAAGAUAAUGACGGUAUCCGGAGAAGAAGCCCCGGUAACUUCGUGCCAGCAGCCCGGAAUACGAAGGGGGCUAGCGUUGUUCGGAAUUACUGGGCGUAAAGCGCACGUAGGCGGACAUUUAAGUCAGGGGUGAAAUCCCAGAGCUCAACUCUGGAACUGCCUUUGAUACUGGGUGUCUUGAGUGUGGAAGAGGUGAGUGGAAUUCCGAGUGUAGAGGUGAAAUUCGUAGAUAUUCGGAGGAACACCAGUGGCGAAGGCGGCUCACUGGUCCGGUACUGACGCUGAGGUCGAAAGCGUGGGGAGCAAACAGGAUUAGAUCCCUGUAGUCCACGCCGUAAACUAUGAGAGCUACCGUUGGCGG
rnacentral:rRNA from 1 species